UAUCUAUGAGCAUCGAAUAUUUUUCCAUUUGUUUGUGUCAUCUCUGAUUUCUUUGAGUAGUAGUUUGUAGUUCUCCUUGUAGAGAUUGCUGGCCCCCCUUGUUCACUGUACUCCUAGGUGUUUUAUUCUUUUUGUGGCAAUUGCGAAUGGGAGUUCUUUCGUGAUUUGGCUCUCAACUUGACUAUUGUGGGUAUAUAGGAAUACUAGUGAUUUUUGCACAUUCUAAAAUUUUUAAAUUAAAAUCUUAUCACCUCUAAAAGAGUUGCCCUAUAGUUUUAUUAUUUUUUCUUUUCAUGGGCUUGGUGUUUUAUUUACUUAUUUUCUUUAUCCUACUAACUUAAUAUAGGAAGCAAACAACAAGCAAGAAAACUAUUAACUGUAAAUUAUUCAUUGUAAAACUAUUAACAAUAUAUGUGAUAAGGAAGAUGGGGAAGACUGUAAUAAUAAAACCUAGAUUAUGGGAUGCUACUUAAAUUUAGCACAAUAUUUAGCUCUCAACUACCUGUUAACCCAUACGAAAGGGAAAUAGAAAGUCAUGUAGUGCUUAAACUUUAAAAAAGAAAGUAAAUUCUCCCAGUUCUGAAUCUAGAAAGAAAUUAAUAUCAUGAAAUUCUAUUUUAAAAAGGAAAACAGAAAAACAAAAAGGGGGCAAAACUAAACAUGUAAGUUUUACCUAUCAAAUUCAGUAAAAGAGCAACUAUUCAGUUACAGUGAUAAAGAGGCAAUGCCCUUAUAAAGAAGUUAUAUUGCUCUUUAACAGAGGAUCUUCAUAGGCUGAUACAGUGAAUGUGUAAUCUGUAAUUCUACAGCCUAAAUUAGAGAAUUUAAUAAGGAAAAAUAAAGAAAUAAGUAAUAAGAAUUUAAUGAGAAACAAUAAAGAAAUUUAGUAAGAAAAAAGGUUUUAAAUCUGUUCAACUGAUCAGGAACAGUUAUUAUGUGUCCUAUUCAACUUCUAUACCUAUCAUGUUAAUGAUAAUAAUGAUGAUGAUAGCUGAUACAUACACAGUGCUUUGUAUGAGCCAGCCACUGUUCCAAGUAUUUUACAAAUAUUAACCCCAAAAGUACCCUUUAUAAAAGGUCAGAAAUCCAAGGUGUAAUACAGAUAAAUUCUCCUUAUUCUAAGAGAGACUUUACACUGUUAAGACAAAUUGUUUCCCUAUAUAAAUGAGACUUUAGUAACUCAAAUUGCCUUUUCCAAUUUUAAUUUUUUUAAUAUCAAAUUUUUUUCUUGCAUAUUAUGUGUUUAAACUCUUUUGUCUUUGAAUUAUUUUAAUGUUGGCAGUAACUAAAUUUCAGGUGAGAACAAGAACUUGUAUAAACUAACAGAAACAUGUUGUUGCACCCAGGAUUCAUUCAUAUACUAAAGUUCAAAGAUGUGGGUGCCCAAUUCAAAAGUUAUAUGUCAGGAAAACGUUCAUAAAGUAAAAUAUUAUGUACACUAAACCCACUGGCAAAACUUUAAGAAUACUUUACCUCUGUCAACUCCAGAGCUUUAUUGUAGCCCAUAGAGUGUAGAGUUACCCAAAGGUCACAAGGAUCUCCCUCUCGAUCAUUAGCUUCCAUUAGAUUCAAAUCCAUAAAUCCUUGUCUUGUUAGUUCAUUCCUCUUUGUAUCAAAAUUAUCUGUUUAAACAACCAAAAGUUUUUUCUUACAUAAUUUAAAAAUUCAUAACUUUAAUAAAAUGUCUAUGAUAUAUUAUUAUUCAUAGAUAUUUAUUUUAAAAGAGGCCUAUGAAUCUAUGAGCAGUAUAGAAGUGGAAUAAAAAUGGCUCAAAACAUAACUCAGCAUAGAUACAUCAUAGUACACAAUUUCGUUUUUCAACAAAUCCUGAAAUUAUAAAUAGUGCAAAUAUAUUCUAAAAUUAGAGGAAACUGUAAUAUUUCUAGAUAAAUUCCAAUCUGCCUGCCUAUUUAGAGCAUACAUUGUUAUAUAAAAUGCUUCAUAUGUAUUUGCCACUUAAAGUCAGCAGAAACUGGAUGAAUUUGAUAUAAUACUCCCCAAACUACUAGGGUUUCAGAAAGAAAGAUAUAAAUAGUGUCAUAUUUAAGAUUACUAUAUGCCUGAUUCCUCUAAUUUUAGCUAAAUUGUCCCUGAGUCUUGAAAGACAGAUAGAUAAUGGGGAGCACUUUGGAAUCCAUGAAUCAACCACAUUUUCCCAGGUAAACAGACUCCCAACCUGGCUCACUUUGCCAAGCUUAGACCAUUUUAAGAUCCACACAUUACUAUCCCAGUGAAAGCAUACGUGAGUUAACCUCUCUUGACUGCAUUCUGGUCUCCUCACACCUCUUGUUCUGUGAUCUAUAGUUGGCUAUGGCUUUUUGGCUUUCCCUCUGACCUUGCAGUCUUUGGCUUAAAUAUGCAAGUACGUCUUCUCAGACUCCUUCUAAGUGAUAACUGACUUUGCCUCAUUCUCAGUGAUUUUCUUUGUCCACCUUGGCAUUUUGGCUUCAAUAUUUCCAUAGAUGGACUUUUUAAAUUCAACUCAAAUACGAAAAGCAUUGAAGAAUUUUUAACAUGUAUAAUAUAAACAACUUCCUGGAAACCUUAAUUUGUAAGUAAACCUCUAGCUUUUUGGCUUUUUGCUGCCCUCUCCUGGUCACAGUUUGUGGCUCUUGACCACUUCAGGCCCAGUGGUAUCAAGCGCAAGGACAAGUUUUUUGUCUUCUAAACCCCAAAGAGUAGAGGCUCAAAACUGAAAUUAUGAUUAAGUAAUUCACACUUUCUUUUAAGUUGAGUAUUAUACCAACUACCAAUUUAAGAAAAAUAAAUGUUAGCAUUUACAAACAAUGCUACUAUUUUCAAACUGUCCUAAAUGCUAUAAUAAUAUAUCAUGGAGAAGUUUGAUUUAUUUCUUAGAGAUGAAAAUGUGCUAUAUAUAUAUUUUUUUAUACAUCUGUUAAGAAAAAGAAAAGUGCUUACCUCUGCAGACAGCCCAAGCAUCUUCAUCACAUUUCUCACCACUUGUUCUCAAUUCAAAAAAAUUAUAUUCUUCAAGGCUAAGAAGACCAUUUCCAUCUAAAUCAAUUACUUCAAAUAUAUCUGAUAAAGUAGACCUAAAAUUAUAAAAAUAGUUAGUUAUUUCUUGUCACUAAGGCAACUACACUGAAGAAGGGUUCUAUGAGGAUAACAUUCAAAAGGAAUGUUAUACAAUUUCUUUAAACUAAAGUUAAUGUAUCCAAAUACAGUUUUGGCUCAGUCCAGUAUUACAUGAGAUAAAAAAGCUUCUAGAGCAACCACAGUAUCUCAAUGCAUAGUAAGAACUCAAUGAAUAGUAGUAGUUCCCUUCUUUUUUCCUUUCUCCAAUCUACUUUCUUCUUCUUCUCUACCUAUAGGGAGAAAUUGGUAGAUGUUUGACUGAAGUUGACUUGCCAAAUGUGUGGAACCCAGAAGUAAAUGACAAUCCCAGAUCUGCAAAUGGAGGAACAUUUUCAGAUGCUCAGAGGAUGAGUUGUUUUGUUUUGAUAUAUGUAUUUAUGGUGUACAAUGUGAUUUUUUGAUAUAUGUAUACAUUGUGGAAUGACUAAAUCAAGCUAAUUAACAUAUCCAUUAUCUUACAUAUUUAUCAUCCUUUUUUCUAGUGGGAACAUUUAAUAUCUAUUCUCUUAGCAAUUUUCAAGGAUAUAAUAUAUAACUACAAUCACCA